GCACUGAGUGACUCGCUGGCCAGACCGACAGCCAGUUUCCUUCAGCUAACACCUGGCUGGCUGUACUCGGCUGUACUACAAACUCCAGUCAAGUUCACCUCAACACUUCCGAAAUAAACUCGGGUGUUGGUGUGCUUCACCUCGUAGUAUCCGCGGCUGAAGAAGUGGUCCCUGAAGCACUGUGUGACGGUGGAUCGGACUCGGAGGACCUUGGAGACGU